GGACCCAUGGCGCAAUGGUAGCGCGUCAGAUUCCAGAAUAGGAAUGUCCUGAAGGUUAUCCGUUCGAUCCGGGUUGGGUUCA